GGUGGGUUGGCUCAGUGGUUAGAGCGUAGGUCUGGUAACCGAAAGGUUGCGGGAUCGAGUCCCGCUAGAGGCUG
rnacentral:tRNA from 1 species